UACGUAGGGGGCAAGCGUUGUCCGAAUUUAUUGGGCGUAAAGAGCGUGUAGGCGGUUUGGUAGGUCCGCUGUGAAAACGUCGAGGCUCAACCUCGAGACGCCGGUGGAAACCAUCAGACUAGAGUCCGGAAGAGGAGAGUGGAAUUCCUGGUGUAGCGGUGAAAUGCGCAGAUAUCAGGAAGAACACCCGUGGCUAAGGCGGCUCUCUAGUACGGUACUGACGCUGAAGACGCGAAAGCGUGGGGAGCGAACAGG
rnacentral:rRNA from 1 species